rnacentral:lncRNA from 1 species
CAACCAGUGAUAAAUGUGCACUCUUAUAAGAUCAUUGUAUUAUUUUUUGCUUCAUUAUUUAUUUUUUUAAAAAAUAAAUUAAAUUAAAAAAUAUAAAAUAACUAUACUUCAAACUUAAAAUUUUAUAUAUUAAUUAAUAAAUUUUAGAUGUGGACAAAAAUUUUAUGGGCAUAGUUCCCAAACUAAUUAGUUUGGGGAUUAUGCGGAUCGGUGCCACGUGGCCAAUCCAAUGGUCAUGGAUGGAAGAAAAAAAAUCCUGUAUUUUUAGAGAGAGAGAGAGAAAGAAAAAGCAACUGAAAAAGGCACCCGUCGGAUCGGCCACGUGGCGUUGAUUUGCAUUGUCCCCAAACUAAUUAGUUUUAUGCACCGUUUGGUUCGGAUAACGUUUGAAUGAAAAUUGGAUUAUUACCGGAGAUAAAAAAAAAAAAAUAACGUUUGGAUAGAUAAUAUGGAAUAAGAAAAAUAGUGGAUAGUUAUAUAUGAAAAAUAAAGGUGUUGGUGGGAAUAAUUAUACCAGCUUAUUUCAGGUAUCCGAAAAUUACUAUUUUCGGAUAAAAAAUUAGCGUUUGGAUAUAAAGAGAGGGAUAAGGGUUAUUCCAUCCUUUAUCCCCAAUCCAAACAGUCUGGCUACCGUUUGGUUCAGGUAUAAGCAAAAACUAGCUAUUACAGGAAUAGGUACAAAUAUGGAAAUAAGAAAAAUAAUGUUUGGAUGAAAAUUGGAUUGUUUCUGGAGAUAAAAAUAAUUUUAGAUAAUUUUAUAUAAAUACUAGAGGUGUUGGUGGGGAUAACAAAAAAUUAUUAUUUUUGAAUAAAAAAUUAACAUUUGAAUAUAAAGAAAGGAUGAGGGCCUAAUUCUAUUUCUAUCCCCUA